GUAACUCAAAAGACUUUUAGGAGAGUUGUUCCAUUUCAAUUUACCAGUUGGUGCUAGCUGUUCUUUCCUAGAGGACUGAUCAAUGUGGUAGAACUGCAGAGUGCUAAGGAAGACCCGCUCCCAGCUUCGGAAAGUCAGCCCAAGCCGCC